GAUGAAGAACGCAGCGAAAUGCGAUAAGUAGUGUGAAUUGCAGAAUUCCGUGAAUCAUCGAAUCUUUGAACGCACAUUGCGCCUCCUGGCGUUCCGGGAGGCAUGCCUGUUCGAGCGUCAUUACAACCCUCAGGCCCCCGGGCCUGGCGUUGGGGAUCGGCGGAGCCCCCCGUGGGCACACGCCGUCCCCCAAAUGCAGUGGCGGUCCCGCCGCAGCUUCCAUCGCGUAGUAGCUAACACCUCGCGACUGGAGAGCGGCGCGGCCACGCCGUAAAACACCCAACUCUUCUGAAGUUGACCUCGAAUCAGGUAGGAAUACCCGCUGAACUUAAGCAUAUCAAUAAGCGGAGGA
rnacentral:misc_RNA from 1 species